rnacentral:rRNA from 1 species
GACGUAGGGCGCGAGCGUUGUCCGGAUUUAUUGGGCGUAAAGAGCGCGCAGGCGGUCGUUCAAGUCGCGUGUGAAAGCCCCCGGCUCAACUGGGGAGGGUCACGCGAUACUGAUCGACUCGAAGGCAGGAGAGGGUAGUGGAAUUCCCGGUGUAGUGGUGAAAUGCGUAGAUAUCGGGAGGAACACCAGUGGCGAAGGCGACUACCUGGCCUGUUCUUGACGCUGAGGCGCGAAAGCUAGGGGAGCAAACGGG